UACGUAGGGAGCAAGCGUUGUCCGGAAUCAUUGGGCGUAAAGCGCGCGUAGGCGGCCCGAUAAGUCCGCUGUGAAAGUCAACGGCUCAACUGUUGAAAGCCGGUGGAUACUGUCGGGCUAGAGUACGGAAGAGGCAAGUGGAAUUCCUGGUGUAGCGGUGGAAUGCGCAGAUAUCAGGAGGAACACCUAUAGCGAAGGCAGCUUGCUGGGACGUUACUGACGCUAAGGCGCGAAAGCGUGGGGAGCGAACAGG
rnacentral:rRNA from 1 species